rnacentral:pre_miRNA from 1 species
AAGGAGGACCCACUUGCUUCGCCCGUGUGCGUGCAUGCUCAACAGGCGUCUACCUAGUGUCCUACGCUAGGUAUGCGACUGAUUGAUGCAUGACAUGCACCAAUGCAUCACCGGUGAGACAGUGCGUCCUCCCUCG